rnacentral:rRNA from 1 species
UCAAACCUUGAAGCUCAACUUCAUACAAUUAUUAAUACUGUUUAACUAGAAUGCAGUAGGGGUGAACAGAAUUCCAAGUGUAGAGGUUAAAUUUGUUGAUAUUUGGAGGACUACCGGAGGCGAAGGCGGUUCACUAUGCUGUUAUUGACGCUUAUUGUGCGAAAGCGUGGGUAGCAAACAGGAUUAGAUACCCUGGUAGUCCACGCUGUAAACGAUGAGUGCUAGCAGCCAAGGAUAUUAGUUAUAUUAGUUUAAUAUAAUUCGCUAUACGCUUUGAUUGCACAGCUAACGCGUUAAGCACUCCGCCAGGGUAGUACGGUCGCAAGAUUGAAACCCAAAGGAAUUGACGGAGGCCCGUCCAAGCGGUGGAGCAUGUGGUUUAAUUCGAAACUACACGAAGAAUCUUACCAGCCCUUGACAUUUUAAGCUCAAAUUGUUUAGUAAAUUAAACACUUAUAUCUCGUAAAGGGGUUAUAGGCUUUUAACAGGUGCUGCAUGGCUGUCGUCAGCUCGUGUCGUGAGAUAUACGGUUAAGUCCUAUAACGAGCGCAACCCUUGCCCUUAGUUGCUUAAAGCGAUAGUCUAGCUCUCUAAGGGGACUGCUAAUUUAAAGUUAGAGGAAGGAGAGGAUAACGUCAAGUCAUCAUGGCCCUUAUGGGCUGGGCCACACACGUGCUACAAUGGCAAUACACAGAGAGUCGCAAUGCCGCGAGGCUGAGCAAAUCUUUCAAAACUUGUCUAAGUUCAGAUUGCACCUCUGUAAUUCGAGUGCAUGAAGCUGGAAUCGCUAGUAAUCGCGGAUCAGCAUGCCGCGGUGAAUACGUUCUCGGGCCUAGUACACACUGCCCGUCACGCCAUGGGAGCCAGCUUUGCUUUAAGCCUAUGCAUUAGCAAAGGUAAUAGCAGAACAGGUGACUGGGGCGAAGUCGUAACAAGGUAGCCGUAGGUGAACCUGUGGCUG